rnacentral:tRNA from 1 species
CGGGAUGUAGCGCAACCCGGUCAGCGCGCUCGGUUCGGGACCGAGAGGUUGCUGGUUCAAAUCCAGUCAUCCCGACCA